CCUACGGGCGGCAGCAGUAGGGAAUCUUCCACAAUGGACGAAAGUCUGAUGGAGCAACGCCGCGUGAGUGAAGAAGGGUUUCGGCUCGUAAAGCUCUGUUGGUAGUGAAGAACGAUAGAGGUAGUAACUGGCCUUUAUUUGACGGUCAUUACUUAGCAAGUCAAGGCUAACUACGUUCCAGCCGCCGCGGUAAUACGUAGGUGGCAAGCGUUGACCGGGUUUUUUGGGCGUAAAGACAGUGCAGGCGGUUCAAUAAGUCUGAUGUGACAGCCCUCGGCUCAACCGGAGAAUUGCAUCAGAAACUGUUGAACUUGAGUGCAGAAGAGGAGAGUGGAACUCCAUGUGUAGCGGUGGAAGGCGUAGAUAUAUGGAAGAACACCAGUGGCGAAGGCGGCUCUCUGGUCUGCAACUGACGCUGAGGCUCGAAAGCAUGGGUAGCGAACAGGAUUAGAUACCCGGGUAGUC
rnacentral:rRNA from 1 species